AUUGAACGCUGGCGGCAGGCCUAACACAUGCAAGUCGAGCGGAUGAAGGGAGCUUGCUCCUGGAUUCAGCGGCGGACGGGUGAGUAAUGCCUAGGAAUCUGCCUGGUAGUGGGGGAUAACGUCCGGAAACGGGCGCUAAUACCGCAUACGUCCUGAGGGAGAAAGUGGGGGAUCUUCGGACCUCACGCUAUCAGAUGAGCCUAGGUCGGAUUAGCUAGUUGGUGGGGUAAAGGCCUACCAAGGCGACGAUCCGUAACUGGUCUGAGAGGAUGAUCAGUCACACUGGAACUGAGACACGGUCCAGACUCCGACGGGAGGCAGAGUGGGGAAUAUUGGACAAUGGGCGAAAGCCUGAUCCAGCCAUGCCGCGUGUGUGAAGAAGGUCUUCGGAUUGUAAAGCACUUUAAGUUGGGAGGAAGGGCAGUAAGUUAAUACCUUGCUGUUUUGACGUUACCAACAGAAUAAGCACCGGCUAACUUCGUG
rnacentral:rRNA from 1 species